GGGAUUGUGGCUCAGUGGUAGAGUGCUUGCCUAGCAUGUGUGAGGCCCUGGGUUCAAUCCUCAGCACCA
rnacentral:tRNA from 1 species